UAGGGAAUCUUCGCAAUGGACGGAAAGUCUGACCGAGCAACGCCGCGUGAGUGAAGAAGGUUUUCGGAUCGUAAAACUCUGUUGGUAGAGAAGAACGUUGGUGAGAGUGGAAAGCUCAUCAAGUGACGGUAACUACCCAGAAAGGGACGGCUAACUACGUGCCA
rnacentral:rRNA from 1 species